UUUUCUUACCCCUUCAAUUUUCCUUGGUGUGCUCUCAGAAUUUGGUGAUUCGAACGAAAAGUGUGGAGUUUAUGCCAUUUUAUCUCUCCCUUUCGACCUUCCUCAUGAGCAUAUCUUUUCUCCUCUAUGGACUGUUCAAUUACGAUCUAUUCGUUUAUGCCCCAAAUGGAAUAGGAACUAUGUUGGGGAGUGUUCAAUUGGUGUUGUAUUGCUACUUCAGUCGAGUUGCUAGAGAGGAGUCUAGAGAACCUCUAAUUGUAUCAUAUGCGUAGAUACGUACAUUAUGUAUUUACAUCAUGAUAACGAGGAACAACAGAUUUCCAAGGGUUGAUAAUUGGUUCUUCCACAGCAUCCGUGUGCAGUUCGUUGUUAGCCAAUGAGCCGUUAUCGGGCUACAUUGUGUUUUGUUGUAAAAUUACCUCUCCAUUAAUUUCUCCAUUUUGAUUGAUUGGUUUGUUUUUUCAACCCACCAAUCACUUAAAUGGCGUAUUUUUAGACAACCAACCCCAAAUUCUCAAGAGUGAAGAAUGUUGUAAUGUUUUUUAGCCUUGUGAUUUAAAAGCUUUGCUCCA